rnacentral:lncRNA from 1 species
AUUGAAGAAGGGUUUUGGUAGCAAAGAGAGUAAUUAGGGCAUCAAUAUAGAUGAAUGGAGAUGAAUGAUGAAAAUCUCUAUUCCUAUUGGUCAAAAAUCAUGACCAAUAGGCUUUGAGGAGGCUGCCCAAGGCCAUAUUAGGGAUUAGGGUUAGUUUUUCGGAGCUAUUUGAGCUUUGAAGGCUAAGGUCAGCAAGUUUAAGUUUUUGGCUAUGGUUUUGGUACAAAUCUUA